GCGGGAUCACCGCUGGGUUUCCUUUCCACUUUCCUUCGCCCUCCGCCAAAUCGCCAGCGCUCGGUUUCCUUUCCCUUUUCCUUCGCCCUCCGGAGGGAUCGCCAACCGCCGCCCUCGCACCCCCAUGGCCCCAUCCCGCGCCGCCCGCCGCCCUUUGCUCUCCGCCCUUCGCCAAACGCCGCCUUGACUUCGAUCCCCCUAAACCCUGGCCACCGUUGCCCGCGUUCAGGUCGCCGUUCGGACCCCAUCGCGCCGCGUCGCCACCCGGACCGCGGCCAGGAGAUAGAGCAGCGGUAGACGUGCGGCGUCUUCCUCCUUAAUCCGUCACCUCGGUUUCUUAGUUCCUCCCACCAUGCCCCUCCCUUCCAACCCUAUCUCCUUUAAGCGCCAAGUCGCCGCAGCAGCAACGAGGUUCUCAACGGGGCAUGUUAAGGCUCUGCAUGAGAUGAGAGGUCGACUCAACGAUGGAGGCUGAAAAUAAAGCUUGAUGUUAAGAACAUGCCAUUUAUGUAUGGGUUUAGUUUGCGUUGGAGCCAAGCUGCCAGAUCGUGUGGUCCCUGGUAAAUCUGGAGCUUUAUUUUCAUAUCUAUUUACUCUAUGAACAUUGUCAAAUAACUAACUGAAUUAUAUGUUUUGCAAGCAUGCUAAGGAACCAUUAACCUAGCUUAUACGGCUGGAAUGUAAUUAUAUACAUAUAGCCAACUGAGUCAUAUGUGGUCAAGGAAUAAAAAAGUAGGAGGAACUAGGAAGAGAUGUCGGUGCUGUGUUGAUAGUAAACAUAUGGGUUUGCCCACUUAGUCAAUUCUUCUAUUGUGUGAUUUAAGUAAAGUUAAGUGAGGAAACCAUGCUUAGACAUCUCUCCCCGUAUGGCUGUAUGGCUAAUUUGUUUUUAAAGGCAGUCUGACGGUAAUUGUACAUUUGUACUGUCAUAAACUCAUAAUCUAUGGCCUGCAGAGACGCGUUUGUGUCGCACACAAGCAUCCCAGUGCAAAUUAAGACAGCUUAUCAUUUCGAUCGCUUUUAAUUUGACACCUCCUUCUGAAACUUAAUUAAUUCUCAUUAGCCAGCUAUAGGAUAGAUAUAGUAGGUCGACACAAAACGAUGGAGUAUAGUAUAACUGCAAUCAGCAGGUUGGAUUCUAUGAUAUUACUAAAUGGUGAAAUACUCAAAAGUAUUGGGGCUGUAUCCUGAAGGAAACCAUCCUAUUUCAUCCAAUAAAUUAGUUUCGAUAUCUUACAAAUCGAUCUGGUUUUGUCGGUGUGUGUAAAUGGUGCAUGUGCACGUAUAGCAAACAUGAGUUGGAUUACUAAUCUUAUAUAUUGUCAAUUAGGUAAGUAUAGGGACAAAAAUCUGUUUACCAGUGGACUGGAAAUCUGUUUGUCAAAUUCACUUCAAUUUUUCAGUGCAAAAUUUAUAUUUUCAGACCUUUUCUUAUUUUCUUUUCAUUCCAUAUCAAUGAAAGUAAUUUAUUUUUCUGUCCGGGGAAAUUUGGUCUCUUAAUCAUUCAGCACUUAUCUUCUUGCACCGAUCUUAUAAUAAAUCUUCUGCAUCCGAUGUAAUCACAUUUCUGUCAAGUCACAUUCGAUACUUAUUAGAUGCUAAUAAACUAAAUCUAUAUGUCAACAGUUACAGGUUGAAUCAACUAAUUUUCUGACAGUAGAUGUGCUGACGUUCAUAUACUGCAGUUGAAUUUAACUUCCAAAUAUUACUGCCAGCAUCCGGCCUCCUCAACAUCAGAUCAGUGUUUCAGGUGUGUGUGUGUCUCAUUUAAAUUAGUCAUCUUUUCCGGUUCGAAAUUUUCGCUUUGCAAUUGGUAUAUAUGUUUACAUCACACCCUGAAAUUUCUCUAAUUCAGAAGAACAUGUAACCAUAGUAAGUAUAAAAUUUGCAAGAUAUAGAUCUUGAUGGCCUGGUGCUGCUAGGUGUAUGCAUUAAUUCUGUUGUGCUGGAUGUAGUUUGCUUGCCUUUAAGAUUAUAUGAUUAGUUAGAUGUAUUUUGUUGGCCUACUGGAUGUAUGCAUUCAGCUCCUGACUCAUUCUUGAUUUAUUUGUGCAUGCCGGAUCCAUGGAAGAAUCGGCCACUAAAGUCUAAACUCUGAAAUAAGGUUUUUGGUAUAUAGUGGCCUAUAUAUUCUGCACGUCAUAGAUCUUUCAUGUCACAGUAUUUAUGUAAAGGUUGAUUAGUACACAAGUACACAUACCUUUUUUGUUAUCUUGUAGCAUACAAAGUUUACACUUAAUCACUACACAAAAGCACUUAAGUAUAACUUUGUAUUAUCUUGCAAGUCACCACACUAAACCACUAAACCACUAAACCAUCCUAUCAAGAGAGAGAGAGAUAGAUAGAUAGAGGUGGUGAGGUGCGGCACCGCUUGGAUAGAUGGAAGCUGUUUCUUUUCCUCCGCUAAUCACACUUGGAUACUCUGGUUUAUGGCAAUAAUGAGCAACAGGGCAGCCACGACAUCUGUAGGAGCAUAAGAAUAAAAAGCCCAGUUAAUCAUUGACGUUUGUAUUCAACUUAUCGAUGUCUGGUAGUGCUAAUCUCCAAAACAAUCAAGAUAUUUUCCAUAGCCAUAUGGAUCAUAAAUAUGCAUCUGAUCCUUUUGCAAUCCCUGAAAUUUCUCUUAAAGAAUCAAUUGCAAAUCAUGUAUUGUAGUUUUCUGAGGUCCGUUGGUCCAUUGCCAAAUAUUAGCAAAUACGUUAUUUAGUCAGAGUUAUGGUAUCCUUGAAGGUUCAAUGAUUGGAUUUCCUUUAUUCAUGCAUCAGGAAUUUGUGUUGGAUGAUCAAAUUGCAGAAUUUUUAUGCCCUAGAUCUAUAUACUUUUUAAUGAGAGAGUUGUAUGGUCUAUUAGGAGUGAAGAUCAAUUCAGUUUCUAUCCUAGAUUGAGCAGAGUUAACAUGGUCCAUUUUUUUAUCAUAAAUUCAUGUUUUCCUGUCUAAUAUUUUUUUUGCUACCAACUGCAUAUUCAAAUCAACUGUAAUUUGAUUGCACCAUGAACUGCAUAGCAUUAGCAUGAUCCAAUCUAAUCUAUGGCCUCUAACAUGGUUUAGUGCAAUCUGUCAUGACCUUCUGCUUGGUUUCAUGUGCUUGACAUGUUCUCCUCAGAUUGAAGGAAAAAACGCAUGUCCUCCCACUAGGAGUGGUUAGUGGUUCAUUCUUGAGGUAUAUACUACUCAUCCUCUUGCAUAUGUUAGCUUUAUAGUUCACAUGUUAGGGUGGAAUGGGAUCCUUUGCCUGUUCACUGGACGAACCACUUUGGAAUGUUCAUAAUCACUGUUUCCUUUUUGUUUGAAUCAUAUAUACAUCCCAUUAUAUGUUUAAUUGUCAAAACAUAGAUCAUCUUUUGACUGUUUUGCAUUAACAAAUAAUGCCAUAAUACCGUUAGCACGGGCAUGUUACUAUCAUAAUUCACCAACUAGCAGCAUGAUGUUUUGAACAUCUUUAAGAAAUGAUUUAUUUAUAAAUUGAUUCUGUCCCUCUUAUUUAUAAAUGAUUUAUUUCCCUGAGUAUGUAUUUUCUCGAAAAAAACCAAAUGAUUCAUUUUCCUAAGUAUAGUUUGGCCUUGAUUUACUGUUUGCCCAUUUCAGGUUAUCUUUCUUUUUAGCUUAGCCCUGAUAAGUCGCACAAAACUUUCUCUAAAUUAUUUUGGCCUCAUUCCUAAUGGCUACAUAACCAUCAUUGAAAAAAGUGUAUGUGAUAUGUGGAUUUGGGUGAUCUUACCAUCCUGUUGGCUUUUUACAUGGCAUGAGCGAUAGUGUGUAAAUAAAAUCAUUUAGUACUCUGUAAGAAUUUAUGUUGCUUGUUCAUCUCCGAAUGGGCAUGUAUAACAUUGUCAUCUUACAUAAAUACUAUGAUUUUUAACAUUCAUUGUUUAGAAGAAGAAAUUACAAAUUCGAAUCCUACUGACUACUGUCAUUUGAUUUUGUAUAGCAUACCAGAAGAAACACGUGCGGUACCACGUGAUUAUCACUGGCUUAACUCUUUAUGUAAUUUUUUGCUUGAACCUUAAUCCCACCCCUUCUAUGGGGAAAUGUAAUGCCUUUAAAAUAUCAAAUGUCACUAUGACGUUAUAUCUUUUUCAAUUUGAGUUAUCAAUUGUCACCCCGUAGCGUUAGCACGGGCAUAUUACUAGUGUUUUUAAUUGAUAAGCAUUAUAUUUCAAUAACUAUCAUUCCGUGCCGCACAGGCGCAUGGGCAAUCAAAAGGCCUUAUCCCCAUGGCUACUUAGUGGUUACCAUUGUUGGCGUAGUUUUUGGUCAUGCCGCCUACAUGAUCGGUAUCAACCUAAAGCUUUACGGUGAUAUAGAGUCACUAAUCACCUCUAGAAGAAACCUCCUGGUCAAUAUGUGUUUAGAAGAUUAAAACCGACUAGUGGAGCUAAUUUAGACAAAAAGGAUAAACACUCGUCUCAUGAGCGGAAUGGAAGGUUUUCAUGACAUAUCUACAAAGAGGACCCGCACUCUUGCGGUGAAGACGGACGGCUUACAGCGUGACGACGAACAUAGAUGAAAUUAGGCAAAAAGUAGAUACGAUAUUGAAAGAAUGAUUCAAUUAGCCAAUUGUGUUGUAGUAAAUUGUUUGUCUUAAUGGAACCAACCAUAGCUCUUAUAAAGACAAUUGGUCUUACCUUCCAUAGGACUCUCCAAAUCCUACUAGGUAUAUAAACCAAUUAGUACUCGAAAAAUCUCAGCUCGAGAAAGAAUACCCUAGAACCGAUAAAUUAGAGUCGGGGUCGGACUCAAACGGUCUGACCGGCCAAAUGCCGCUGGUCAGACCAGCCCCACACCAUCGGUUUGACCAGCCCUAUGGCAACGAUCAGACGACAUCGCACACCAAACCAAUCCUUUCCAAAUUCAUUCAUAUUUUUCCUAUUUUUACGUAGAUGCUAAAUUUGAGUAUUAACAACCAUGUCUCACUUUCUAGAUUCCCAUUGCUGUUUUCACCAUAUAAAUACUUUUCUAGAAUCAUGUUUAACAUAAGAAGUAUACAUGGUAUACUAUCUUUGUCCUUUUUUUUCUUCACCCAUCGUAUAAGCUAAAAAAAAUCUUGUAUCAUCUUAAUAAUUUGCUAUUAAUAUUAUCUAUUUCUAUAAUUUAUCGAUUUAUCAUCAUUCUCAAUAUAUCAUUAGACUGUAUAUUUUUUAAAAACAUACCCAAAAUACUCUUAUAGAAAACAAGAUUAUCAAUUAUUUUAUCCCAUUAUUUUUUUAAAAAAGUGACUUUUAGCCUUCUUACACAACCAUGAAGCAUGCAUAUAAGUUUUAAUUUUUUUUAUUGUCAUUUUUUUUAAAAAAAAGUUAAUUUUUGCGUAUAAGAGAAUUUACUCACACAAAAGAUAAUGACACAAUUUGUGUAUGAUAUAAAAGAUGUUUUAAAUUAAAAAAAAUAACGCAAAAAUGUAUUCUAUAUAGUAUAUAACGGAUAAAUGCAAAAAAAUCUUGAAAAGUAUGCACAAAAUUUCAUAUUUUUUAAAGAGGCUAUAUAAAGAACAUAGUUUUUAAACUUCUGAUGGGACAAAUCAACUGUUAACCUGAUGUGUAUUUUGGGAAAAAAAACUGACAAAAUAACAUAUUGCAAAACAAUUGAUAACUCGGCGUUAUAUUAUACAAGGGACAAUACAAACAGCAAAUUGUUGAAUUGGACUAAAUCAAUGGCAAAAGUAGAUUCUCUCAUCCAGGAAGCCCCAAGACAAUCAAGCGAUGACAGUGGCGAAUUCCCGUGAGCUUAUAGUAUUAUCAAUUAGUUGAGAUAACGAAAUUAUAUAUUGAUUGAUAAAUAUUGUUCAUCAAUAUUUGUAACAUCUUGGGAAACCAUAUAUGCUUUAGCUUUUCUUAUUUGAAUUGACAAACAUUGUAGUUCAAUAAUUGUCACCCUUCGUUACAACCUAAUCACGUAAUGAUUAAAAAAAACGACUGCAACUUCCAUUUUCAAGUGGUAAGGGAUACUGGGACAGUCACUUGGACAAAGUAUAAGAGCUAAAAGUAGACAUAGCAAAUCUACAUUUCUAUCUUUGUUGUUAGCAUCUAUAAUCUGCUUCUCCACUGGAGGAACUGUACGAGAAACCUGCCCUCUACAGUAUUGCCGUGAACUUACAAAAUCUCCUCCCACCACGCUGGCAAUCUCAACCAGGACUGCACACAUGCGUUCGGAAGAAGCCCGGCGGUCUGACAAAAUGCUGUGUAUUGGGGAAACCCAUCUUGGUCGAAAGAAUUCCACUCACGUGCUCCAAAAAU